rnacentral:tRNA from 1 species
GCCAGCAUGGUGUAGUGGUUUCAGCGUUGGACUAUGACUCUGGAGACCAGGGUUCGAUUCCCUGCUUGGCC